ensembl:snRNA U6 U6 spliceosomal RNA
AUGUUUGCAUGAACAACACAUAUACUAAACAAAUAGAAAAAUAAAGAGAUUAGCAUAGCACCUGUGCAAGAAUGGCAUGCAAAUUCCCGAAGAAUUUAAUUUUUUA